ACUCUACAAGGUGUCAGAACAGCCUCAAUUCAUCAGGACAUGGACUCUACAAGGUGUCAGAACAGCCUCAAUUCAUCAGGACAUGGACUCUACAAGGUGUCAGAAUAGCCUCAAUUCAUCAGGACAUGGACUCUACAAGGUGUCAGAACAGCCUCAAUUCAUCAGGACAUGGACUCUACAAGGUGUCAGAACAGCCUCAAUUCAUCAGGACAUGGACUCUACAAGGUGUUGAAAGCGUUCCACAGGGAUGCUGGCUCAUGUUGACUCCAAUGCUCCCCACAUUUGUGUCAAGUUGGCUGAAUGUCUUUUGGGUGGU
ensembl:lncRNA